UUCAAAGGCAGCUGCAUCCCUUCGAAGUUGCCAUUGAUCCUGGGACCCUGGACUCUGCCAAUGAGACUCCAUAGCCACAUCCUCUUCACCUUUGAUUGCUGCCCUGUGGCCAAGAACUCAAACACACACAUCAAAAAGCCAUGCUUCCCCCAGGUAUAGCCCUGUGAUUCUCUUUAGCCAAUUAAAGAUGUAAGUGAUUUGUCACAUUCUCUGAACCCCCACGACUCCCAUGGUGAACAUCAAAUGGCCAUGAAAAGCAGAAGCUCCCACCGACCUGAGCUGGACGUUCC
rnacentral:lncRNA from 1 species